UUAGUAGCGCAGUGGCAGUAUCGUAGCCAAUGAGGUUAAUCCGAGGCGUGAUUAUUGCUAGUUGAAAACUUUCCCUGGGCUUUGAGGCAAGCUAAACUCACGCCAUGUACCUCACAGAUAGGAACUGGGGUUCUGUCUGUUUCCCUGCUGCCUCUUCCUCUUCCUUGAACAGA
rnacentral:snRNA from 1 species